rnacentral:rRNA from 2 species
UAGACCGCCUGGGGAGUACGGCCGCAAGGUUAAAACUCAAAUGAAUUGACGGGGGCCCGCACAAGCGGUGGAGCAUGUGGUUUAAUUCGAUGCAACGCGAAGAACCUUACCUGGUCUUGACAUCCACAGAAUUCUGCAGAGAUGCGGAAGUGCCUUCGGGAACUGUGAGACAGGUGCUGCAUGGCUGUCGUCAGCUCGUGUUGUGAAAUGUUGGGUUAAGUCCCGCAACGAGCGCAACCCUUAUCCUUUGUUGCCAGCGAUUAGGUCGGGAACUCAAAGGAGACUGCCAGUGAUAAACUGGAGGAAGGUGGGGAUGACGUCAAGUCAUCAUGGCCCUUACGACCAGGGCUACACACGUGCUACAAUGGCGCAUACAAAGAGAAGCGACCUCGCGAGAGCAAGCGGACCUCAUAAAGUGCGUCGUAGUCCGGAUUGGAGUCUGCAACUCGACUCCAUGAAGUCGGAAUCGCUAGUAAUCGUGGAUCAGAAUGCCACGGUGAAUACGUUCCCGGGCCUUGUACACACCGCCCGUCACACCAUGGGAGUGGGUUGCAAAAGAAGUAGGUAGCUUAACCUUCGGGAGGGCGCUUACCACUUUGUGAUUCAUGACUGGGGUGAAGUCGUAACAAGGUAACCGUAGGGGAACCUGCGGUUGGAUCACCUCCUUACCUUAAAGAAGC